GUUUCUUUUCAUAUUUUAAAAGUAUUUUGAUUACUCAUGCGCGCUGAAUAAAUGCAAUUGUGUACAAGUUUUCGAAUGGAAAUUUCCAUGCAUUGCACAGCGUGCGUUCAGUGUGUGACCUCCUUCCGGUUGAUAUUCAUUUCAAAACUGCACCCGCCUUUUCAGUGCUCACGUUUCAGAAGUUGUCGGUCAACCUGCACUUUCCGUAUCUGAUUUGCCUUUGCUGUUGUGGAUAAAUACAUUCCGCCGACGUCCACUCAUCACAAUAUUCAGCCACCUCACACCGAUUCGAAACUAUUCGAUUGGGACGCUGGCAGCAAUUUUAUUGUAAUAUCGAAUUCGAUUAGCGAUUUUCAUUGAAAAAUGUUUAGUGCAAAAAUAAUAUAAAAAAGAACACGUAUAAAAAGUCCAAAAGUUGGAUGUUUAGUAAUGCAAUGCUUGCAUGUAAGUGUUUGUUAGGCGUGAAGUGAAUCGGUGAAGCGUUUCUUAAACCAACAACAACUAAAGAAGUAUGUAAGCGCAGCUAACAUCACUGAUGGAACGGUA